GGCUUUUUUCUGAACUCUCACACUUCUAACACUGCUGUGAAAUACAAUGCACAGAGCACAUCCCUGGCUGCUUCAAGCCAGUGUUGUUCUGCAACCAGGGGUGCAUUUAGAGACAGAUCACCACAGGUUCUCUGGGAAAGCACCUCAGUAUCCUUGAAAUGUAAUUAGAGAACCACAAGGGGAUUUAAUCUUGUUGAGAUCUCACAGUAAAACAGUGUUUAACCCUGGCACUUAUUGCUCUCCACCUAAUAAACAAAAUAAAAAUUCCAAUCAGCCAGAGGAACAGCUAAGACAGGCGCUUUCAUGAAGUCCACCACGACAAACGCCAAUCUUGUAUUUGCUGGAGUGGCACAGCAUGGAAACAAGUCACCUCCUUCCUGGCUCACUUUAAAUGGUUCACAGAUCCAUGUACAACCCACGAGACAGCACCAGCCUGAAUUUCACUGCAUUUGUGUAAGUUAGCCCACGUGUGCAUGAGGAAUGGGCAUACUUGAGCCUUGCCAGCAGUACAGCCCUUACAGACAAGGUCCCCAAGAGGAAACACCAAGAACAUUUCCACUGCUGACUGCCAGAUUUUUCCAGGCAUGAGUUGGCCAACGAAUCCUAGAAUUCCCAAAACCAAGGCAGGGCAGUAAGUGAGGAUGUGAACGUUUGGGUGAAUGCUAAUGGCCCUCUAACCUCAUGGGAGGAGACCACAGAAGGGGUCAGAGGUUCUUCAAGAGAAAACCAGUCACAGAAGCACCUUUUAAAGAAGAUCUCCCUCCUCUGCUGUUAUUGUUCAGAGCAACAAACAGUUGUCACUGACAUGCAGACAAGGAGUUGACGGCUCACCUCAGGAUACGUGGUAUUGAAAAGACAGAAAAUAAAAUCACCAGCUGCUGCUCUGGACAAGAGUAAGUUAUUUACAAAGUGAAAGCAGUAAAUUAGCUUAAUGGCAAGACCACAUGCUGCGGUACAGAUCAAACCAUUUUUUUGUUUUCCACUUCCAGCUGACAGGAUUGUGAUUACUCAAGGAAAUCGAGUUCAUUAUCUUGUCUCUUUUGAGAAAGGAAAGAAAACCUGGGACAUAGAGACCAAGAAAGGAAUGAGAAAACCACCAUGAAAAUACAGUCAAGGGGGAAUGACUGGCGGCUGCAUGAGGAAUGUAAUCUUGUAAAUGGACCAGAGUGCACUGAAAGCAGAGGCAGAGGAGAGGAAUCAAGGGGGAUUUAGACAGAUUGAGGCAGAACUCUCAGGAAACAGGGAGUCCAUAUCAGAAUUACUGUGCUUUUUUAGGAACAUACUAGAAUAUGAGAAGUGCUUAAAUCUGCGGCGUGGAUUAGUGGAUUAGACAAGUUAACCAUCCCAACACUGCGCAGCGUUAGACAGCAUGGCUGUCUGAAAAGACAGUAAGUUGUCUGGAAAAGAGCUACAGCAAAGCACUGCCACUGCAAGCAAUAAACUCCAUGCCAGUGUAGAUCAGAGUAGGUAGAAGACUGGAUUUUGGUUCUGAACGCUGAACAUUGAGGUAUGAACGAGCUCCACAAGGCGCCUCUACAGAUACACGGAUGUGAAGUGCACUGCUGUGAGCACUGCAGAACAUCACAGCACCAGGGGAUCGCUGAGGUGGAGCCCUGGACACCUUGUGCUCUAACACUGGAAUCCAGAUUAAAGAUAUUCUUGUGGGAAUGCUGAAAUCACUACUGAAAUUACAAAGAAAACCAAUGAGCUCUAUUAUUUCCCAGCUGUUCCUGUGGCUUUCAUUGCCAUUUUCAUUGCUUAACUUACAGUUAAGCUCAUACUAAGAUUUUUGUUUUCACUUAUUUUGACACCAAGUUUGUGGCUAUCUAUGGGAUAUGUUCAACAGAACUGCAUAACCCUUCAGGUCCCUUCCAGUCCAAGCCCUUCUACAGUUCUAUGCUAUGUUCUCAGAGUAGUUGAGAUCUGAUCUUAAAAAAAAAGCAUAUUAGUACCAUUUUCAGCUGAAACAACUGAAUAUAUUGCUUCUACUGUGAAAAAAGAUGCUUACCAUACACGUAUAUGUAUAACACCACAUGUAAGUAGUACAGUCAGCUUUCCUUCACAAGUGGAUUACUAAUCACAGUGUGGGUACUGAAAAACCAUACUUCCACGCAGCUGAUACAAGCAUUGUACUUUUUCAAACAUUCUCUUUUGUUUCAAAAUGUGUAACUUCAUAAAACUCACAAGAAAGCCUAACUGGCAUUACCUGAAGCCUUUGCAGGUGUGCCUACAUCAAAAUGUUAUCUUUAGUUAUUUAUUUGACCAUGCACAACCUUUUCAAAUACAUCCCUGCCUCCUUUUCUGCAUUCACUGUUCCAGAACUGGCAAAACUGAGUGUAAUGCAUGCAAUUUUGUUAAGCAGGGCCACUUUUCACACCUCGUUCAGCAGGAACCCAGAGGGUGCCAUUCCAUCAAUGAGCUGGGAUCAAGGAGUUGCUGUGAUCAGUGUGAAACAUUUUCACCUGGCCUCUGGCAGGCCUGUAUUUACAGGAGGAAGAGGCCACAAUAAAAGCAGCAUGGCUGGGGGCCCUAGAGGAAGAUAGCCUUACUUCCCAGUCAUCUGGGCACUGUGUAGCCCCUAUUUUAUGUAGGUUAUGGGGAGGUGAUGGGACUGCCUGUGGUGAGAAGGGAGGCUUGAUUCUCUUCUCUGAGGAGCAGGCCAGGCUAUUGAAGAGGUCUUUGUUCCUUAACUUACUGCUGAAACUGCAUAAGCUUGUGUGCCUUGCUCUGACUGAAAGCAGAAGGUUGGAUGGCUCAUCUGAACAAGGGAAAUAAAACCACACCACUUCCUGGACUGAACUUCUGGAAAAAAAUCAUAGUAAUUUCACCUGGACCUUAUUAGCCUUACAAUUAGAAGAACUUUUUUUUCCACCACCUUGUGUUCUGGGAGAGAAAGUGACUUAACUGGAUUAAGCUGGGCUGACAGAAUGUUCUCCAUUACAGAGCUAGCAGCAGUCUGUGCCAACAGAGGAACAGAAAACACGUUCAUCCUUAGUGAGGCUCUCCAUAAGCAUCUUCACAUGCACAGAGAUUUUUCUUUAAGGCAAUGCUGCCCCUGACCAGAAGCCUGCUAUGCUUAAUGAAACACCAGCUGAGCUUCUUGGAUCCAAGCAUGUGAAGUGAGGGGGCACGUAAGCAUCUGUUUGGAUACAACUGAAAAUCAGCUGUCAGUGAGGAUUUAGCAAUGUGCAGCUGAGAGGUGGCUCCUGUUCUCAUUGAAAAGUACCUCAGUUACUGGAAGGUACCUUCUGGAUGGAGCCUUCCAAUGGUCUUGCUGUGCAUACCAGGACAUCCUGCCAAACACCUGGAAACUUGACAGUAAUGCCCAAUGAGGAUGUUGCCUCCCUCUUUUGUCUUUACUGCUGCCCUGGUGGUGAUAUUACAAAGAUGCUGAUUCUUUUUCUCUGUGGGUGCUUGCGAUGCACUCUCAGGAUGAAAAGGUAACUGCUGAGAGUACUGAGCAUUACAUUAAAAAAACAAAAACAGGAUUGUACUGUUUGCAUCAAAUGUGUCCAUACACGAGCUAUUCCUUAAGGUGUAUGAGCAGCAAAAAAAGGCUAUGUCUCAUCCAUUUACAGAACUGUUUUUUUGAUGAUACACAGGAAGAAAAAAUCUCAUACUUGGAACUGAACUAAUGGAGUUCUGUGCUUGUUACUUGUAUGUGGGAGCCCAGCAAUGUGUCUCAUCCUUCUGUAUAGUGUUUGACUGACUAGAUGGAAACAGAGCAUUGGUUUGCUCUUUAACUGAGGGUCUGAACUUAAAUUUGAAGCUGCCUUAAUUUCCCACUUUAGAGCUGGGGAAAUACAAAAGGGUUAUAGAGCUUGUAAAGUCAGAGUGCAGUGGCCUGCAGUCUUACUAACUUCAUGUAAAAUUUUCACUCUUGACAUUCUUUCCAGAUCCACUUCAACUCUGAGAUGAUGUGUAAGAAAGCUGAAUUAGCUUCCAUGCUUUUGAACAAGUGUUAGUUAAGACAUAAUGCUGUAGCACGUGGCAACUAAUUUGUUAUUGUAAUAGAAGAGCUCUUGAUGUACCUCCCUCCUUCUUCUGCCUAGAGCACAACACUGCUUCCAAUGCUACAGGAAAGCUGCACUAACUCUAAAAUACAGAAAACUGAUUAGAGCUCAUUCAAACUGUCUAUGGGAAGAAGAGCAACGCUGUUAAAAGCACGACUAUUUCUCCAAUGAAAGAGAACUGGGGGAGUGCUGUGAUGAAGUUUUUUGGAUGUCGUGAAGCGUUGUGUGUUGAGGAAGAGGCAGGUAUAACCAAACCUGGUAAAACUGCUCUGGUGGUGGUUGCAGAUGUGCCUCAUGAACUGCAUGUGAUAAGCAUGGAGAACCUGUCCUGCCUUCAGCCUGCUGUAACUACAGAUCAUCAGAGCGAAAUAUCUGUUGAUGCUGAAGACAGUUCUGAUAAGGUACUGAUGAGAUAAAGAUACCUCAACCACAAUGACACUUAAGUACCACGUAUAACCUGGUUAAAGCUUUUAGGUGAAGCUGGCAUCUCUGAAACAAAGACCUACCAACUCUGUCAGGGUGUGAACUUGUGCUGCAGCUUGUGCUCAGCCCUUUCUUGAGGAGCACCCAGGAAAGUGGUACCAGAUCAAAUCCUCAGGUUACGUAAAUGAAGUCUAUAUCUUCAAUGGGAAGAACUUUUCCUCUUUAAAAAAAAAAAAAAAAAAAAAAACCCCAAAAAACCAAUGGACUUGAGUGGGGAGCUCCAAUUUAUGUCUCCCAGCUUGCACCAAUGCAACUUUAAAAUCAGCUAGAUGCAAGUUUUGCUUUUGGAUCUCUACAGAGUACACUUCUACUACUACUAGCUUCUGGGCUGCCCUGUUCCCUCCUAGGAGGGCAGCAUCUCCUUCUAACCAGUUCAGUGAUUCGUCUUCCUUGUCAGCUGCAGGAAAUCCAAACAAACCAAAAUCUGAGGGAGCACACAGAGGGAGAACACAGAAGAGACUUCUAAAGCCAGCUGAAGCUGCCACCUUGUCAUUCCUGUCAAUACUGCAAUAAAUAAGAGAAUAGUCAGGUAAAGAUUGACUGACCUGACAAGAAUAAACUGGAAACCCAAUCUGAUGGAACUUCUGUCUGGAUUUGUCUGUGAGUGCUGCAACAAACCAGACACUUUCCUAUUUUAGGAAAGUAGGAAACAAGGCAAAAUUGUGAUUUAUCACAGUUCUUGUGUGUAUGGCAGGAACAAGGUAGAGGUUGGAGAUGAAUCCCAUUUUCUGCAAAUUAAAAACAAGAUGGAAAAAUAAAGAUGAGAACUGGAAGAAGCUCUGGGAAAUUGGAAGACAUUGCAAAGGAAACUUCAGAGAUUUCAGGGAGCAGGACAGUCUCCAAAGUGUUUUGCCUACAAAAGUCUGAGUGCCUGAGCUCUGGAGCCUUCUGAAGUGCAGCAAGGUACUGCAUGGCCUUUAAUGGAAGUUCACGGAGGAAAGUUACCCUAAAUUGCUAAGUGUCUAGGUGGCAAUUACCGAAGGUUAACA